UACGUAGGGUGCAAGCGUUAUCCGGAAUUAUUGGGCGUAAAGAGCUCGUAGGCGGUUUGUCGCGUCUGCUGUGAAAACUGGGGGCUCAACCCCCCAGCCUGCAGUGGGUACGGGCAGACUAGAGUGCGGUAGGGGGAGAUUGGAAUUCCUGGUGUAGCGGUGGAAUGCGCAGAUAUCAGGAGGAACACCAAUGGCGAAGGCAGAUCUCUGGGCCGUAACUGACGCUGAGGAGCGAAAGCAUGGGGGAGCGAACAGG
rnacentral:rRNA from 1 species